AGCUUGCUAAGGCUGAUGGCGACCGGCGCACGGGUGAGUAACACGUAUCCAACCUGCCGUCUACUCUUGGCCAGCCUUCUGAAAGGAAGAUUAAUCCAGGAUGGCAUCAUGAGUUCACAUGUCCGCAUGAUUAAAGGUAUUUUCCGGUAGACGAUGGGGAUGCGUUCCAUUAGAUAGUAGGCGGGGUAACGGCCCACCUAGUCAACGAUGGAUAGGGGUUCUGAGAGGAAGGUCCCCCACAUUGGAACUGAGACACGGUCCAAACUCCUACGGGAGGCAGCAGUGAGGAAUAUUGGUCAAUGGGCGAUGGCCUGAACCAGCCAAGUAGCGUGAAGGAUGACUGCCCUAUGGGUUGUAAACUUCUUUUAUAAAGGAAUAAAGUCGGGUAUGCAUACCCGUUUGCAUGUACUUUAUGAAUAAGGAUCGGCUAACUCCGUGCCAGCAGCCGCGGUAAUACGGAGGAUCCGAGCGUUAUCCGGAUUUAUUGGGUUUAAAGGGAGCGUAGAUGGAUGUUUAAGUCAGUUGUGAAAGUUUGCGGCUCAACCGUAAAAUUGCAGUUGAUACUGGAUGUCUUGAGUGCAGUUGAGGCAGGCGGAAUUCGUGGUGUAGCGGUGAAAUGCUUAGAUAUCACGAAGAACUCCGAUUGCGAAGGCAGCCUGCUAAGCUGCAAACUGACAUUGAGGCUCGAAAGUGUGGGUAUCAAAC
rnacentral:rRNA from 1 species